rnacentral:rRNA from 1 species
AUUGAACGCUGGCGGAAUGCUUUACACAUGCAAGUCGAACGGUAGAGGGGGCAACCCCUCGAGAGUGGCGAACGGGUGAGUAAUAUAUCGGAACGUGCCCAGUCGUGGGGGAUAACGUAGCGAAAGUUACGCUAAUACCGCAUACGAUCUAAGGAUGAAAGCGGGGGAUCGCAAGACCUCGCGCGAUUGGAGCGGCCGAUAGCAGAUUAGGUAGGUGGUGGGGUAAAGGCUCACAAAGCCAACGAUCUGUAGCUGGUCUGAGAGGACGACCAGCCACACUGGAACUGAGACACGGUCCAGACUACUACGGGAGGCAGCAGUGGGGAAUUUUGGACAAUGGACGCAAGUCUGAUCCAGCCAUUCCGCGUGCAGGAUGAAGGCCCUCGGGUUGUAAACUGCUUUUGUACGGAACGAAAAGGUUUCUCUUAAUACGGGGGACUCAUGACGGUACCGUAAGAAUAAGCACCGGCUAACUACGUGCCAGCCGCCACAGUAA